rnacentral:rRNA from 1 species
UACGUAGGGAGCAAGCGUUGUUCGGAUUUACUGGGCGUAAAGGGCGCGUAGGCGGCCGAUCAAGUCAGCUGUGAAAUCUCCGAGCUUAACUCGGAACUGUCAGCUGAUACUGUUUUGCUAGAGUGCGGAAGGGGCAAUCGGAAUUCUUGGUGUAGCGGUGAAAUGCGUAGAUAUCAAGAGGAACACCUGAGGUGAAGACGGGUUGCUGGGCCGACACUGACGCUGAGUGCGCGAAAGCCAGGGGAGCAAACGGG